GCAGCAGCUUAUCAGUUCAGCUGCUUCUCAAAAUACACUAAAAACAGCCAACAAACAGAAGCUGCUUUUUACCAGUUUUUCAACAAGCAGCAGCUGUGCCAAACAAGGCCAUUGUUUCCAAACAUGGUUCACCACGAUACAAUGUGAAAAUGAAACCAAAUCUCAGCAAUUUGAGUACUUGACAUUUAUACCCGCAGAACAGAAACAGCUGAUAGGUCAGCACUAUCCUUUUUUCGUACCCAUUUCAACAUAUUUAAUAGUAGGUCACCCACGAAUGGACUUAGGUAGGUGCACCACAUGACAUGACUGCAGUGCGUUUGUUUUACAAACUGGGAACAAAACUGCAUGAUUUAUCAUACACUCCUCUACUUCUUAAAAGAAAACUUUCCCUUCUUCCUAGCUUUUCUCUUGUCUUUCUUGAUCUUCAAAUGAAGCUGCACCUUCUUCUUGCUAAUGCUGCCAAGUGGCCUCAAGAAGGUCUUAGACCUGUUGUUCCCUGCAUCAGACAUCUCCACAUCUGCAUUCAUGUGAACACAGAACACAUCAGUUGAGGGAUAACAAAAUAAGGCGCAACUGAGGUUGCAGGAAGAGAAAACAGGAUCCACAACUGGUAGAUGUACUACAAGUUUCCUCGAUUAGGUGCCUCAGGAUACAUUGACAGGCAUUCAUAAUUGGGAGCCAAAGUCAAAUAACAGUUUGCGUGUUUUUAAAUUGAAUGGCAUACCCAAGUGAAAAAGUGCUGAUUAUGGUAAC
rnacentral:misc_RNA from 1 species